GACGCUGGCGGCAGGCCUAACACAUGCAAGUCGAGCGCUUCCCUUCGGGGAGGAGCGGCGGACGGGUUAGUAACGCGUGGGAACAUACCCUUCUCUACGGAAUAGCCUCGGGAAACUGAGAGUAAUACCGUAUACGCCCUUCGGGGGAAAGAUUUAUCGGAGAAGGAUUGGCCCGCGUUAGAUUAGAUAGUUGGUGAGGUAACGGCUCACCAAGUCUACGAUCUAUAGCUGGUUUUAGAGGAUGAUCAGCAACACUGGGACUGAGACACGGCCCAGACUCCUACGGGAGGCAGCAGUGGGGAAUCUUGGACAAUGGGCGCAAGCCUGAUCCAGCCAUGCCGCGUGUGUGAUGAAGGCCUUAGGGUCGUAAAGCACUUUCGCCAGAGAUGAUAAUGACAGUAUCUGGUAAAGAAACCCCGGCUAACUCCGUGCCAGCAGCCGCGGUAAUACGGAGGGGGUUAGCGUUGUUCGGAAUUACUGGGCGUAAAGCGUACGUAGGCGGAUCAGAAAGUAUGGGGUGAAAUCCCA
rnacentral:rRNA from 1 species